rnacentral:lncRNA from 1 species
GGAUGUCUGAAUUCGACUGAAUCACAUAGGUAUUCCUUUGAAUUCUUUGUCUGACCUGUAUGUGUAACCGCAUCAGUGUUUAGUGAACAAAUACGGACAUGAAUGUGGUAGAACCAAUUUGAUCUGUUUUCACCCCUGAGUGACUCAAAGAUCUAUAGCUUCGUGCACAUGUUAACAGCAUGUUCUGCUGUGUUCAUGCCAUCUCUUGUCAGUUGGCACUUCAAUAUAUCAUGAUUGUCGAAAACAUCCAUGGUGCUACAUGUCUGUGUCGUGUGCUUGUUGGUAGGCUUAGAUAUAGCAAUGGGGGUUGCGAUCAGAUUGAAUGGGAUAACAGGGCCUGCCCUCAGGCGCAUGUCGGGGCUCCUCCCCGGCUGUUGCCACUUGCUAGAGGCUUUUAGUUCUCAGCUUGGGGCAAUUUGUUGUUUAUUGAUUGAUAAUGUCCUAAUAUAGGCCCCCUUUUCUCUAUAGGCUUAGGGUGGCCACGUACCUUUGAGGACAAACUAAAAUUCAACGAACAAGGAAGCCUAAGAUACUUUCCUACUCCCUCCGUCCCAUAAUAUAAGAACAUUUUUGACACUACACUAGUAUCAAAAACGUUCUUAUAUUUUGGGACGGAGGGAGUAACAUUUAUCAAAAACCUUCUUAAGAUAAAUCUGGUCUUCUUGGCUUCCAGGUUUAGUGCACGUGCCACCUUAUUUUGUGGUGCAGUUCCUGACCUGGUUACGAAUGUGGUGACAGACAGGAUUGGGCCUGCAGAUGCAGUGCUGGUCGCGAUAAGCUCUAUAGAAAUCUGUCUUACUUGACUCAGUUGUUGGUAUGGCCAAGCAGGGGCGUUCGGUGUUAAGCUUUAGCUUGUUUUCCUUGGAUCCUGUUCUUAUUUUUACUCCAUUUAAUCAGAAUAUCCUUCUCCCAUGUACAUUUCUGGUUUUGAUGGCGCCGUUUCGGCUUCUGCGUUUGUGUGAUUGGCAGGGCAAGGAUGUGGAGGCGCGGAAAAGGAGGGACACAUAAACAGUUUCUGGAAAAUUUACUUUCAAAGUGCUAAUGCUUGACCCUCAUUGUAAAAUUCUUAGUGACAGCAUCAUAUAGCGAUGUGUUGUCAAGUAUGGAUUUUGAGCUAUAGUUUACAGGAAGUGGUGCUUUGUAGUGCCAGGUAACUAAUUUCCCAUGAACAUUUAGUUUUUGCUGAUCUAAACCAUGCGAAAAAAAGUUCAUAUAAAACUAUAAAAGAAGCCUCAUGUUCAUCCCUAUGCAGUAUCUUAAGUUUCAAGAAAAUCUGAAAAUAAAUACACAAGUAGUAUCAAUGAUAGAAUAUGGGUCGUUACGCGCUUGCUGACCUCAUGUUGAAUGGUAUACCAUCGAUAGCUCAACAACUUUGCAUUGGG